AGACCCGAAACCCGGUGAUCUAGCCAUGGGCAGGUUGAAGGUUGGGUAACACUAACUGGAGGACCGAACCGACUAAUGUUGAAAAAUUAGCGGAUGACCUGUGGCUGGGGGUGAAAGGCCAAUCAAACCGGGAGAUAGCUGGUUCUCCCCGAAAGCUAUUUAGGUAGCGCCUCGUGAAUUCAUCUCCGGGGGUAGAGCACUGUUUCGGCUAGGGGGCCAUCCCGGCUUACCAACCCGAUGCAAACUGCGAAUACCGGAGAAUGUUAUCACGGGAGACACACGGCGGGUGCUAACGUCCGUCGUGAAGAGGGAAACAACCCAGACCGCCAGCUAAGGUCCCAAAGUCAUGGUUAAGUGGGAAACGAUGUGGGAAGGCCCAGACAGCCAGGAUGUUGGCUUAGAAGCAGCCAUCAUUUAAAGAAAGCGUAAUAGCUCACUGGUCGAGUCGGCCUGCGCGGAAGAUGUAACGGGGCUAAACCAUGCACCGAAGCUGCGGCAGCGACACUGUGUGUUGUUGGGUAGGGGAGCGUUCUGUAAGCCUGUGAAGGUGUGUCGUGAGGCAUGCUGGAGGUAUCAGAAGUGCGAAUGCUGACAUAAGUAACGAUAAAGCGGGUGAAAAGCCCGCUCGCCGGAAGACCAAGGGUUCCUGUCCAACGUUAAUCGGGGCAGGGUGAGUCGACCCCUAAGGCGAGGCCGAAAGGCGUAGUCGAUGGGAAACGGGUUAAUAUUCCCGUACUUGGUGUUACUGCGAAGGGGGGACGGAGAAGGCUAUGUUGGCCGGGCGACGGUUGUCCCGGUUUAAGCGUGUAGGUGUGUGUUCCAGGUAAAUCCGGUUCACUUUAACACUGAGGCGUGACGACGAGGCACUACGGUGCUGAAGCAACAAAUGCCCUGCUUCCAGGAAAAGCCUCUAAGCAUCAGGUAACAUCAAAUCGUACCCCAAACCGACACAGGUGGUCAGGUAGAGAAUACCAAGGCGCUUGAGAGAACUCGGGUGAAGGAACUAGGCAAAAUGGUGCCGUAACUUCGGGAGAAGGCACGCUGACACGUAGGUGAAGUGAUUUACUCAUGGAGCUGAAGUCAGUCGAAGAUACCAGCUGGCUGCAACUGUUUAUUAAAAACACAGCACUGUGCAAACACGAAAGUGGACGUAUACGGUGUGACGCCUGCCCGGUGCCGGAAGGUUAAUUGAUGGGGUCAGCGCAAGCGAAGCUCCUGAUCGAAGCCCCGGUAAACGGCGGCCGUAACUAUAACGGUCCUAAGGUAGCGAAAUUCCUUGUCGGGUAAGUUCCGACCUGCACGAAUGGCGUAAUGAUGGCCAGGCUGUCUCCACCCGAGACUCAGUGAAAUUGAACUCGCUGUGAAGAUGCAGUGUACCCGCGGCAAGACGGAAAGACCCCGUGAACCUUUACUAUAGCUUGACACUGAACAUUGAGCCUUGAUGUGUAGGAUAGGUGGGAGGCUUUGAAGUGUGGACGCCAGUCUGCAUGGAGCCGACCUUGAAAUACCACCCUUUAAUGUUUGAUGUUCUAACGUGGACCCGUUACCCGGGUUGCGGACAGUGUCUGGUGGGUAGUUUGACUGGGGCGGUCUCCUCCUAAAGAGUAACGGAGGAGCACGAAGGUUGGCUAAUCCUGGUCGGACAUCAGGAGGUUAGUGCAAUGGCAUAAGCCAGCUUGACUGCGAGCGUGACGGCGCGAGCAGGUGCGAAAGCAGGUCAUAGUGAUCCGGUGGUUCUGAAUGGAAGGGCCAUCGCUCAACGGAUAAAAGGUACUCCGGGGAUAACAGGCUGAUACCGCCCAAGAGUUCAUAUCGACGGCGGUGUUUGGCACCUCGAUGUCGGCUCAUCACAUCCUGGGGCUGAAGUAGGUCCCAAGGGUAUGGCUGUUCGCCAUUUAAAGUGGUACGCGAGCUGGGUUUAGAACGUCGUGAGACAGUUCGGUCCCUAUCUGCCGUGGGCGCUGGAGAACUGAGGGGGGCUGCUCCUAGUACGAGAGGACCGGAGUGGACGCAUCACUGGUGUUCGGGUUGUCAUGCCAAUGGCACUGCCCGGUAGCUAAAUGCGGAAGAGAUAAGUGCUGAAAGCAUCUAAGCACGAAACUUGCCCCGAGAUGAGUUCUCCCUGAGACUUAGAGUCUCCUGAAGGAACGUUGAAGACGACGACGUUGAUAGGCCGGGUGUGUAAGCGCAGCGAUGCGUUGAGCUAACCGG
rnacentral:rRNA from 1 species